GUCACCGUCGUCACCUCUGGUCGUCACCAGAGCCAUAGAGAGAGAGAGUUGCGACAACUCCAUAGACUCCAAUGGAACGGUUUUUUACAGCAAUGGCGGCUCGUGGAACCUCUCAAUAGUUCCCGGAAGUAGCAGCCGCGCCGUAGAGUUACAGCAGAACAGACCGUUUGUGAUGUACUUUUAAAAGCACAAAGGGGAUUCAGAUCCUGAAGACUCCAUGCAAUGAUGCUGUCACCGCCAGUCUCUGCUCCCUGGAUUUUGCAAGCUUUUCCUUGCUCCUUAUUUUUAAUAAACCUUUAAUAAACAUAAAA